GUGGGGAAUAUUGGGCAAUGGGGGCAACCCUGACCCAGCGACGCCGCGUGAGGGAAGAAGGCCUUAGGGUCGUAAACCUCUGUUGUGUGGGAAGAAGGAAGUGACGGUACCACACGAGGAAGUCCCGACUAACUACGUACCAGCAGCCGCGGUACUACGUAGGGGACGAGCGUUGUCCGGAAUUACUGGGCGUAAAGGGCGCGUAGGCGGUCAUUUAAGUCAGCUGUGAAAUGGUCCGGCUCAACCGGAUCAUGCGGGUGAAACUAGAUGACUGGAGUGCUGGAGAGGCAAGUGGAAUUCCCAGUGUAGCGGUGAAAUGCGUAGAUAUUGGGAAGAACACCGGUGGCGAAGGCGACUUGUUGGCCAGCAACUGACGCUGAGGCGCGAAGGCCAGGGGAGCAAACGGGAUUAGAAACCCGGGUAGUCC
rnacentral:rRNA from 1 species